rnacentral:rRNA from 1 species
GACGAACGCUGGCGGCGUGCUUAACACAUGCAAGUCGAACGAAGUGGCGAACGGGUGAGUAACGCGUAAUCAACCUGCCCUUCAGAGGGGGAUAACAGUUGGAAACGACUGCUAAUACCGCAUACUGAAGGAGGGGAUUGCGUCGGAUUAGCUAGUUGGAGGGGUAACGGCCCACCAAGGCGAUGAUCAGUAGGCGGUCUGGGGAGAUGGACGGGCACAUCGGGAAUGAGACACGGCCCAGACGUCUAAGGGAAGCAGCAGUUGGGAAUCAUCCGCAAUGGAGGGAAGUCUGAAGGAGCAAAGGCGCGGGAGUGAUGGAGGCCUUCGGGUUGGAAAGCUCUGUUAAUCGGGACGCGGUACCGGAAGAGAAAGCCACGGCUAACUACGUGCCAGCAGCCGCGGUAAUUC